CCUACGGGAGGCUGCAGUGAGGAAUAUUGGUCAAUGGGCGCAAGCCUGAACCAGCCAAGUCGCGUGAGGGAUGACGGUCCUAUGGAUUGUAAACCUCUUUUGUCGGGGAGCAAGGCGCGCCACGUGUGGCGGGAAGGAGAGUACCCGAAGAAAAAGCAUCGGCUAACCCCGUGCCAGCACCCGCGGUAACACGGGGGAUGCGAGCGUUAUCCGGUUUUAUUGGGUUAAAAGGGUGCGUAGGCGGAAGGUUAAGUCAGCGGUAAAAUGUCGGUGCCAAACGCCGGACUGCCGUUGAAACUGGUCGUCUUGAGUGAGGGAGAAGUAUGCGGAAUGCGUGGUGUAGCGGUGAAAUGCAUAGAUAUCACGCAGAACUCCGAUUGCGAAGGCAGCAUAC
rnacentral:rRNA from 1 species